UACUUUACGUUUCGGCAACACCGUGAACUGAAAAAAUGAAUGAAUUCUAUUGAACAAAAUGGCGUUUGUUUACAUUUGUGGUUUGAUGAUAAAGAAGGAUUGAAUAACUUUUAAGCUAGCUUUUUUUUUAUAUCGUAGAAGUUACUGCGUAAUUAUGGUGAAUACUUGUGUUGUAAGAGGAUGUAAGCAAGAAUCUUAUCCAGGUUGUGAAAUAUCCUUUCAUAGGAUUCCAGUUAAUAAAGAGUGGAGGGCCUUGUGGGUUGAUGCCAUGAACCUUGACACUAAUGUGACAAAAACUGCAUGUGUUUGUAGCUUACAUUUUACUGAUGAUGCGUAUUUAACAGUAGCUAAGAAUAAGUCAAAGCCACAAGCAGUUCCUUCAGUAUUGCCUAAGAUAGUUCCAGAAAG